UGGGAGAGAAGGCUGGAGUACCUACGGACACUGCAAAUACAUGUGUUGGGAUUGUAAACUUAACAGGGUCUAUUAUUGCAAUGAUGUUGAUGGAUAGGCUUGGGAGGAAGGUGCUUCUAAUUGGGAGUUUUUUGGGCAUGGCAGUCGCAACAGGUCUUCAAGUAGCAGCUGCGAGUUCAUUUGUACCAAGCUUUGCAGUAUUAUACCUAUCAGUUGGCGGGACCCUACUGUAUGUGUUAGCAUUUUCUUUGGGUGCUGGUCCAGUCCCCAGCCUCCUGCUGUCAGAGAUAUUUCCUGGCCGGAUUAGAGCAAAGGCAAUGGCUUUAUGCAUGGCUGCACAUUGGGUCAUAAAUUUUUUGGUCGGCCUUCUGUUUCUGCCGAUGCUUGAGCAUCUUGGACCACAAAUAGUUUAUGCGAUCUUUGCAGGAUUUUGCUUGUUUGCACUGGCCUUUGUGAAAAAGAAUGUGGUGGAAACGAAAGGGAAAACAUUACAGGAGAUUGAGUUUGCCCUUCUUCCAUCUCAUUAGUUGGUGACUAGAUCACACUCUAUACUAAAGUUCAGAUUGGAAAAUGUUAAGGUCCUAGUGAUUGAACAUCCAAAUUCUUUGCUAUAGCUAUUUCUUGAUUUGUACAAUUUCGGAGUGUGUUCAUAGGCAGGAAAGGCAGCAACAAUGAACAAUCAAGAUAAAGAUUGUCACAAAGCGAGUUUUCAUAGGGCAAUUGUCACUCUGCUUAUUUUUGCUGCUUUUUUGCUCACUCCACUGGUCGGUGACUAUUGCCUGAGGGAGCAUGAAACUGCAUCUGCCUCGGCCAGUAGUAGAUCACAUAUGUACUACAGAGUACCUAUUGUUGUUAUCUUUGUAUACCUUUCUUUUAAUUUUUACCUUGAUCUGAUUUUUGUAAUUAGCAUGACACGGAAAGGCUACUCUAAACAUUCCUUACAGAAAUAAUGUUACAGAUUUUGAAUUAGCAAGAUACUGGUAGCUGCUCUGCUGUAACAAGAAAUAUUGGUAGUAUUGUAGUAUACAAUUGAUUAAUGUUA
rnacentral:misc_RNA from 1 species